rnacentral:rRNA from 1 species
GACGAACGCUGGCGGCGUGCUUAACACAUGCAAGUCGAACGGAAAGGCCCUGCUUUUGUGGGGUGCUCGAGUGGCGAACGGGUGAGUAACACGUGAGUAACCUGCCCUUGACUUUGGGAUAACUUCAGGAAACUGGGGCUAAUACCGGAUAGGAGCUCCUGCUGCAUGGUGGGGGUUGGAAAGUUUCGGCGGUUGGGGAUGGACUCGCGGCUUAUCAGCUUGUUGGUGGGGUAGUGGCUUACCAAGGCUUUGACGGGUAGCCGGCCUGAGAGGGUGACCGGCCGAAUUUGGAGUUAGGGAACGACCGGGAGCCUACGGGAGGUCAGAGAGGGGGAUAGUGGCAAAAGGGGGGAAACCUGAAGGCAGAAAGCCCGGGUACGGAUGAACGGCGUCGGGUUGUAAACCGCUUUCGCCUGUGACGAAGCGUGAGUGACGGUAAUGGGUAAAGAAGCACCGGCUAACUACGUG